rnacentral:sRNA from 1 species
AAUAAUUUAAUGCCGAAUCUCUAAUUGAGUACGGAGGAACCAAGGUAGGGGUGAAUCUGGCUUUAGCCGGUAGGGAAUCCUUCUCCCAAACCCGUCAGCUAACUUCGGAGGCAGGAAGGAGAAUAUUG